rnacentral:pre_miRNA from 1 species
GGUGCGUGUGAGCAGGAUGGAGAAGCAGGGCACGUGCAUUACUAACUCUCCCAGAAAGAAAACCCACAAAGCUUUAAGGUCUUGGUUUGGUUUGGUUUUCUGUGUUCCGAGUUAGUUGUUCAUGUGCCCAUCUUCCCCAUCAUGAUACCACUGCAUC